rnacentral:rRNA from 1 species
AUCGAACGCUGGUGGCAGGUCUAACACAUGCAAGUCGAACGAGUGGCGGACGGGUGAGUCAUGUCUGGGAAACUGUCUGAUGGAGGGGGAUAACUACUGGAAACGGUAGCUAAUACCGCAUAACAUCGGAUGUGCCCAAAUGGUAUUAGCUAGUGGGUGGGGUAACGGCUCUACUAGGCGCCGAUCGCUAGCUGGUCUGAUAGGAUGACCAGCAGCUCUGGCACGUAGCGACGGUCCAGACGCCUACGGGAGGCAGCAGUGGGGAAUAUGGCAAACUGGGCGCAGUCCUGAUGCAGCCAUGCCGGUUUUCUGAAGAAGGCCCUCGGGUUAUAAAGUACUUUCAGCGGGGAGGCUUUAACUGCAGAAGAAGCACCGGCUAACUCCCUGCCUGCCGCCGCGGUAAUAC